rnacentral:rRNA from 1 species
UACAUGGGGUGCAAACGUUGCUCGGAAUCAUUGGGCGUAAAGCGCGCGUAGGCGGUUACUUAAGCUGGAUGUGAAAGCCCUCGGCUUAACCGAGGAAGUGCAUCCAAAACUGAGUAGCUAGAGUACGAAAGAGGGUCGCGGAAUUCCCGGUGUAGAGGUGAAAUUCGUAGAUAUCGGGAGGAACACCAGUGGCGAAGGCGGCGAUCUGGGGAAGAUACUGACGCUGAGGUGCGAAAGCGUGGGGAGCAAACAGG